CCUCUAUUUAGCGUUAGAUCAUGGCUCAGGAUCAACGCUGGCGGCGUGCCUACUGCAUGCAAGUCGAACGGGGUUCGCUUCGGCGGGCUCACGUGGCGGACGGGUGAGGAACACGUGGCCAACCUGCCCACCGGCAGGGGGUAGCCCGCGGAAACGCGGGGUAAUUCCGUAUGUCCUUGACCCCCGCGUGGGGAGGUCAAGCAAAGGUCCUUUCGGGGGCCGCCGGUGGAGGGGGCUGCGCCCGAUUAGCUAGUUGGGGGGGUAACGGCCUCCCAAGGCGAUGAUCGGUCGCUGGUCUGARWGKAUKAUCAGCCACACCCGGGGAACUGAGACACSGYCCCGACUCCUACGGGAGGCAGCAGCMAGGAAUUUUCSGCAAUGGGCGCAAGCCUGACGGAGCAACGCCGGCKUGCGGGGAUGACGCGCUYCGGCGUGUAAACCGCUGUUCGGGGGGACGAAGCACUGACGGUAACCCCCGGAGGAAGGCCCGGCUAACUACGUGCCAGCAGCSSCGGUAAUACGUAGGGGUCGAGCGUUGUCCUGGAGUUACUGGGCGUAAAGCGUGCGCAGGCGGCGGUCUGCGCCCGGCGUGAAAGCCCCCGGCUCAACCGGGGAGGGUCGUCGGGGGACGGGACCGCUUGAGGAUCGCAGGGGGCUGGUGGAAUUCCCGGUGUAGUGGUGAAAUGCGUAGAGAUCGGGAGGAACACCCGUGGGCGAAGGCGGCCAGCUGGGCGAUACCUGACGCUGAGGCACGAAGGCGUGGGGGAGCGAACGGGAAUUAGAUACCCCGGGUAGUCCACGCAGUAAACGAUGCAGACUAGGCGUGGGGGGGACCUUGACCCCCUUCCGUGCCGGAGCUAACGCGGGAAGUCUGCCGCCUGGGGAGUACGGCCGCAAGGCUAAAACUCAAAGGAAUUGACGGGGGCCCGCACAAGCGGCGGAGCGUGCUCUUUAAUUCGUCGCAACGCGAAGAACCUUACCAGGGCUUGACAUGGACCUGCAUCCCCGGGAAACCGGGUGGCCUUCGAGGGUGGUCCACAGGUGCUGCAUGGCUGUCGUCAGCUCGUGUCGUGAGAUGUUGGGUUAAGUCCCGCAACGAGCGCAACCCUUGGGUCCAGUUGCGAUUUUCUGGACCGACUGCCGGGAGCAAACCGGAGGAAGGUGGGGAUGAUGUCAAGUCAGCAUGGCCCUUACGCCCUGGGCGAGAAGCACGCUACAAUGGCGAGGACAAUGGGUUGCCAAGCGGUAACGUGGAGCUAAUCCCCCAAACCUCGUCUCAGUUCGGAUCGGGGGCUGCAACUCGCCCCCGUGAAGGUGGAGUCGCUAGUAACCGCAGGUCAGCACUACUGCGGUGAAUAUGUUCCCGGGCCUUGUACACACCGCCCGUCACGUCAUGAAAGCCGGCAACACCUGAAGCCGGUGGGCCAACCGCAAGGGGGCAGCCGUCGAGGGUGGGGCUGGUGAUUGGGACGAAGUCGUAACAAGGUAGCCGUA
rnacentral:rRNA from 1 species